rnacentral:rRNA from 1 species
AAAUUGAAGAGUUUGAUCAUGGCUCAGAUUGAACGCUGGCGGCAGGCCUAACACAUGCAAGUCGAACGGUAACAGAAAGCAGCUUGCUGCUUUGCUGACGAGUGGCGGACGGGUGAGUAAUGUCUGGGAAACUGCCUGAUGGAGGGGGAUAACUACUGGAAACGGUAGCUAAUACCGCAUAAUGUCGCAAGACCAAAGAGGGGGACC